rnacentral:rRNA from 1 species
UGGGGAAUUUUGGACAAUGGACGCAAGUCUGAUCCAGCAAUACCGCGUGCAGGACGAAGGCCUUCGGGUUGUAAACUGCUUUUGUACGGAACGAAAAGCCUUCUUCUAAUACAGGGAGGUCAUGACGGUACCGUAAGAAUAAGCACCGGCUAACUACGUGCCAGCAGCCGCGGUAAUACGUAGGGUGCAAGCGUUAAUCGGAAUUACUGGGCGUAAAGCGUGCGCAGGCGGUUGUGUAAGACAGGUGUGAAAUCCCCGAGCUCAACUUGGGAAUUGCACUUGUGACUGCACAGCUAGAGUACGGCAGAGGGGGAUGGAAUUCCGCGUGUAGCAGUGAAAUGCGUAGAUAUGCGGAGGAACACCGAUGGCGAAGGCAAUCCCCUGGGCCUGUACUGACGCUCAUGCACGAAAGCGUGGGGAGCAAACAGG